rnacentral:rRNA from 1 species
CCUACGGGAGGCAGCAGUGAGGAAUAUUGGUCAAUGGGCGCGAGCCUGAACCAGCCAAGUAGCGUGAAGGAUGACUGCCCUACGGGUUGUAAACUUCUUUUAUAAAGGAAUAAAGUGAGGCACGUGUGCCUUUUUGUAUGUACUUUAUGAAUAAGGAUCGGCUAACUACGUGCCAGCAGCCGCGGUAAUACGGAGGAUCCGAGCGUUAUCCGGAUUUAUUGGGUUUAAAGGGAGCGUAGAUGGGUUGUUAAGUCAGUUGUGAAAGGUUGCGGCUCAACCGUAAAAGUGCAAUUGAUACUGGCAGACUUGAGUACAGAUGAGGUAGGCGGAAUUCGAGGUGUAGCGGUGAAAUGCUUAGAUAUAACGAAGAAUUCCGAUUGCGAAGGCAGCUUACUAAACUGCCACUGACAUUGAUGCUCGAAAGUGUGGGUAUCAAACAGGAUUAGAUACCCUGGUAGUC